UUUAUCUGAUCACCGGCUUGUUUUCUAGCCGAAGAUCUUGGCUUUGUAUUAGGAGAGUUACAAAAACUGCAGAACCAUAAGUGAGCUUUUGCAUAUGGGGUUUGAGUUUGAGUUGCUAAGCAUUGUGUUCAACCCUGUAACUACAAGUAGACUAUUUGCAGCAGAGUACCGGUAAUCAGUAAUAGGGAAAAUAGUUAUGUGCGUCAUUGUCGGUGUGUCACAUGCCCACCUCCUCCUGCUGAGAUGCUUACAUUAGCAUGCAGGAUCAUGAUGGGCAUACCAGGUGUCUGUACUCUCAUUCUGUGCGUGUGUCCAUCUAUCCAUCCUUCCAUCCUUCCAUCCAUGCGUCGACAGAGCGCUGAAUGGGCACAGAGGGGUGUGCUCUCACAGACUCCAUAGCGGCAGCAGUGACAUGAGGAACAUCUCCUCGGCUGGACGUCUGCACUGAGAGAGGAAGAAGAGGAAGGAAAAAGUGCCCGAGUUUUCAAUCAGAAGUGAUCCUUCAGCUGUGUAGUCAGCCAUGGAGCAGAAGACGAAUGAGUGCACAACCAGCACCUCUCCCCAGAAGCACAUGAAGAACAGAUCCAAAUCUACAGACGAGACACAACAGACCAAGAGGGCUUUUUCCUCACAAAAAUCUCUCCCAGGCAGACCACAGCUGGACAGAGUGAAGGAGUGCCUUGAUGGUUCGGAGACGCCAUCAUCCUCCACUGAGGAGCUUAAGUGAUCAAACCACCUGAUGAAUGACGUCACCAACAUAAUCCUAUAAAUGUACAUUUGUAUACUCGGAACACUCAACAAGUAAGAUCACUAAGCAAAAGCCAACAAUGUACUGUAGAAAGUAAAAAGAAAUAAUGUGACAUGAUGUAACGUAUGUGCUUUUACGACAAUUGCAUGUAGAACAAAAACGGUGUUUUUUAUUGUUAACAUUCGAAUACAAUAAAGUGGUGAUAAUGAC